CAGGGAGUUCCUGCUUAACCCUCAAAGUGAAGUGUCGUCUCAUUAUUGGGGGAAGGAUUUAUUGUAUGCUGUUCCAGUUUGACUGCUAGGAGAGUAAACCUAUUCGUAUGGUUCCUAUUCAACUGUCUACAGCAUUCAUGUGCUUAAGAGGAUUCAUAUGCUUCUCCGGUUCGGUGGUUGUGGUGUCUGCUGCAGUGCUUGGAGUCCUCAGGAAGCGCUAGGAG